UACGGAGGGGGCUAGCGUUGUUCGGAAUUACUGGGCGUAAAGCGCGCGUAGGCGGACCUGCAAGUCGGGGGUGAAAGCCCGAGGCUCAACCUCGGAACUGCCUUCGAUACUGCGGGUCUCGAGUCCGGGAGAGGUGAGUGGAAUUCCUAGUGUAGAGGUGAAAUUCGUAGAUAUUAGGAAGAACACCAGUGGCGAAGGCGGCUCAGCUGGCCCGGUACUGACGCUGAGGCACGAAAGCGUGGGGAGCAAACAGG
rnacentral:rRNA from 1 species